CCUACGGGAGGCAGCAGUGGGGGAUAUUGCACAAUGGGGGGAACCCUGAUGCAGCGACGCCGCGUGGGUGAAGGAGUGCUGCGGCAUGUAAAGCCCUAUCGGCAGGGAAGAAGCAAGACGGUACCUGACGAAGAAGCCCCGGCUAACUACGUGCCAGCAGCCGCGGUAAUACGUAGGGGGCGAGCGUUAGCCGGAUUCACGGGGUGUAAAGGGAGCGUAGACGGCCAUGCAAGCCAGGGGUGCAAGCCCGGGGCCCAACCCCGGGACUGCCCUUGGGACUGCAUGGCUGGAGUGCGGGAGGGGCCGGCGGAAUUCCUGGUGUAGCGGUGCACUGCGUAGAUAUCAGGAGG
rnacentral:rRNA from 1 species